rnacentral:rRNA from 1 species
UUGGCCUACGGGAGGCAGCAGUAGGGAAUUUUCGUCAAUGGGCGCAAGCCUGAACGAGCAAUGCCGCGUGAACGAGGAAGGUCUUCGGAUCGUAAAGUUCUGUUGAAGGGGAAAAAGAGCGGAGAGAGGAAAUGGUCUCCGAUUGAUAUUACCCUUCGAGGAAGUCACGGCUAACUACGUGCCAGCAGCCGCGGUAAUACGUAGGUGGCGAGCGUUAUCCGGAAUGAUUGGGCGUAAAGGGUGCGUAGUCGGCCUGCUAAGUCUGGAGUGACAGGUACUGGCUACACCGGAACAGGCUCUG